GACGAACGCUGGCGGCGUGCUUAACACAUGCAAGUCGAACGGAAAGGCCCCUUUGGGGGUCCUCGAGUGGCGAACGGGUGAGUAACACGUGAGUAACCUGCCCUUGACUUCGGGAUAACUUCAGGAAACUGGGGCUAAUACCGGAUAGGAAUCCUUGCUGCAUGGUGGGGGUUGGAAAGCUUCUGCGGUUUUGGAUGGACUCGCGGCUUAUCAGCUUGUUGGUGGGGUAGUGGCUUACCAAGGCUUUGACGGGUAGCCGGCCUGAGAGGGCGACCGGCCACAUUGGGACUGAGAUACGGCCCAGACUCCUACGGGAGGCAGCAGUGGGGAAUAUUGCACAAUGGGCGGAAGCCUGAUGCAGCAACGCCGCGUGCGGGAUGACGGCCUUCGGGUUGUAAACCGCUUUCAGCAGGGGCGAAGCUUGUGGUGACGGUACCUGCAGAAGAAGCACCGGCUAACUACGUG
rnacentral:rRNA from 1 species